rnacentral:misc_RNA from 1 species
GUAGGUGAACCUGCGGAAGGAUCAUUAACACGUAUCCACGUUAUAACCCGAGAACUUUCUUAGGUAGCCUAGUUGAGAAAAGGCUUAAUCAGAUCCCUUCGGGGAACUGUUUAAGCUCUGCCUCCUCGGGGGCUAUUGACUAGACUCCUUCGAUUCUAAACUAGUUAAUUGCCUUCGGGCAGCUAAUUAGUUUAAACUCUCAGGGACAAAUCUCCUCGGAGACGCGACCCUGAGGGUUACUCGAAACCCC